rnacentral:rRNA from 1 species
UACGAAGGGGGCUAGCGUUGCUCGGAAUUACUGGGCGUAAAGCGCACGUAGGCGGCUUUCUAAGUCGGGGGUGAAAUCCUGGAGCUCAACUCCAGAACUGCCUUCGAUACUGGAGAGCUUGAGUCCGGGAGAGGUGAGUGGAACUGCGAGUGUAGAGGUGAAAUUCGUAGAAUAUUCGCAAGAACACCAGUGGCGAAGGCGGCUCACUGGCCCGGGUACUGACGCUGAGGUGCGAAAGCGUGGGGAGCAAACAGG